rnacentral:rRNA from 1 species
CAUGCAAGUCGAACGGCAGCGCGGGCUUCGGCCUGGCGGCGAGUGGCGAACGGGUGAGUAAUAUAUCGGAACGUGCCCAAGAGUGGGGGAUAACGUAGCGAAAGUUACGCUAAUACCGCAUACGAUCYAYGGAUGAAAGCAGGGGACCUUCGGGCCUUGUGCUCCUGGAGCGGCCGAUAUCUGAUUAGCUAGUAGGUAGGGUAAAGGCCUACCUAGGCGACGAUCAGUAGCUGGUCUGAGAGGACGACCAGCCACACUGGAACUGAGACACGGUCCAGACUCCUACGGGAGGCAGCAGUGGGGAAUUUUGGACAAUGGGGGCAACCCUGAUCCAGCAAUGCCGCGUGAGUGAAGAAGGCCUUCGGGUUGUAAAGCUCUUUUGUCAGGGAAGAAAAGGUCGUGGCUAAUAUCCACGGCUCAUGACGGUACCUGAAGAAUAAGCACCGGCUAACUACGUGCCAGCAGCCGCGGUAAUACGUAGGGUGCAAGCGUUAAUCGGAAUUACUGGGCGUAAAGCGUGCGCAGGCGGUUUUGUAAGUCUGACGUGAAAUCCCCGGGCUUAACCUGGGAAUGGCGUUGGAGACUGCAAGGCUGGAAUCUGGCAGAGGGGGGUAGAAUUCCACGUGUAGCAGUGAAAUGCGUAGAGAUGUGGAGGAACACCGAUGGCGAAGGCAGCCCCCUGGGCUAAGAUUGACGCUCAUGCACGAAAGCGUGGGGAGCAAACAGGAUUAGAUACCCUGGUAGUCCACGCCCUAAGCGAUGUCUACUAGUUGUUGGGUCUUAAUUGACUUAGUAACGCAGCUAACGCGUGAA